rnacentral:lncRNA from 1 species
CCCUGAUCCUUUUGUUUCAGAGUGAAUGAUUUAAUCAUCUGAUAUGGCAAUAACUCUGAAGAAUUCUGGCUAGGAUGUAUCAGCAAACUGCAAUGCAGGCACAGAGUUUCAAUGAAAAUGCAUUAUUCUGAAAAUCUUUCUCUACUGGAAAAUUUCCAGACCAAUAUCUCUUCAAAAGAGGAAAGGCUGUUAAAUAAUGGGCCCCAAUGCCAUUAUGAUACAAUCCAUAAUUCAUAUUCAAGAUUCCCCAUGAUCCAGGAAAGCCACUGAUGCUACGGCUAUUUUCUUCACAUUUCAUAUAAGAAGAAGGAGUAAAAUUGGGAAUUCCAGCGAAAUGACAUCUGCUUACAUCUGU